rnacentral:rRNA from 1 species
AUGCCCAGUCACCUCUGUUCUCUCUCGACUUCGACGACGGCUCGGGUAGCUAGUGCUCGUAGCCAGUGUCUGAAGUUCAGCUAUAUGUGUUUCACCUCCGAUCAGUGCUCCAUGCUCCCCACCGGCGCACCCCGUCGCCGUCGCCGUCCAUCGAGCCACCUGGCCACCACUUGCAGAAGGAGGAGUCCUCGGCCUGCAGCUAGAGGAGGUCUCGACCUGCAUCUACAGAUGGAUGGCAGCGGGAGGUUACUCCUUCAGGCUGUAUUCGACAGGUCGGAGCGUUGCUGCCCAUCUACGCUCCCGCGUGCCCGUUCUCCCAUCAAUAUCUAUUUUUGCUCUCUUGCGUGUGAAACCAAUAUUUCCUCUACCAACUGA